rnacentral:rRNA from 1 species
AUUGAACGCUGGCGGCAGGCCUAACACAUGCAAGUCGAGCGGAGCGGCGGACGGGUGAGUAAUGCCUAGGAAUCUGCCUGUUAGUGGGGGAUCACGUCCGGGAACGGGCGCUAAUGCCGCAUACUAUCAGAUGAGCCUAGGUCGGAUUAGCUAGUUGGUGGGGUAAUGGCCUACCAAGGCGACGAUCCGUAACUGGUCUGAGAGGAUGAUCAGUCACACUGGAACGGAGACACGGUCCAGACUCCUACGGGAGGCAGCAGUGGGGAAUAUUGGACAAUGGGCGAAAGCCUGAUCCAGCCAUGCCGCGUGUGUGAAGAAGGUCUUCGGAUUGUAAAGCACUUUAAGUUGGGAGGCGUUAUCAACAGAAUAAGCACCGGCUAACUUCGUGCCAGCAGCCGCGGUAAUAC